AAGAAAAUUCUGUUUUUUACAAACAGCUCUCUAAUGAUAACAAAUGGUCAAGUUCAACUUGGCAGAAGCCCUUUCUCUGGAUGUUCUUCCUGGGGAUUGAUGACGCCAGCUCAGUGUGCCUACGGACAGAGAACCUCCUUAAGAAGAUGACUAAAACGAACAGCAAUGCAGUAUCCUAAGUUUCCCCAUCAUGAUCUUGAUGCCUCUUCUCUCUCUUCGACUGGACUCCUGGAACUUGGCCUGGUGUUUGGCUGUGGAUCACUGCAUCUGCUUCCAUCAGUUACUGGAGAAAAGCUCUAUGAUGACAGGGUAUUCACCAAUCAGAUUACUGAGACUCUGCUUCAGAUCCUCCUCCAGAUUCCAGCUUGAGUUCCUGCAAUGACUUUGCUCCAUGAUGGACUAUGACGUGGAAGUGUAAGCCAACCAAACUUUUU